rnacentral:rRNA from 1 species
GACGAACCGUGCGAACGUUAUUCGGAAUCACUGGGCUUAAAGCGCGUGUAGGCGGCCCGGCACGUCCGUCGCUGAAAGCCCCCGGCUCAACCGGGGAAGUGGCGUGGAUACGACCGGGCUGGAGGGGGGUAGGGGGCGCCGGAACUUCCGGUGGAGCGGUGAAAUGCGUUGAGAUCGGAAGGAACGCCCGUGGCGAAAGCGGGCGCCUGGACCCCACCUGACGCUGAGACGCGAAAGCCAGGGGAGCGAACGGG